ACGUGGGGAGAAGACGUGGGGCGGCAGAUCUGAAAAAGAUGGUAGGUGGAGGGACCCCAGGGAUUCACCCUGGCCUCGGACUCAUCCUAUGGCGCGCUUGCAAACCCCGGCCAUCCCCUGGAGUCUGGAGGUCAUUCCGGACUCCUGACGCCGCCAGUCCCGCGGUGAGACGUGAGCACCAUUGGCGUCCGUGGCCUCUGUUUCCGUGGCAACCCAGUAACCAUUAAUUUUCAAUUAAAGGAGACAAAAAGCUCGAUGACAGCUCCAGGUCUGCUGAAGAUGUCAAGAAUCUGUAUUAAUAUACAGCAAGAGAGCAUAAUUGUGUGUCCAUCUUCCAGAGCAGCGAAAAAUGGAGGGAUAAUUACCAGCUCGAAAGCCACUCUGUAAUUUAGUUCUUACUGUCACCACAGCCCUACACAUUAGCAUAAAUUAAAAGCAGAGUUUAUUGUUAUCAAAGUGCA